rnacentral:lncRNA from 1 species
AGUCCCUGAUUGCAACAACAGCCUUGGGGACCCGCGUACAACCAGUGCAGCGCCGCAGCUCUCUCUGUUGUGGGUUACAAAGAAAGCUGUGGGCAUGAAGCGGGGGACCGCACACAGGGCAACUGCAUUGCGAUUGGACCCCGGAACACAGAUAGCUGGCCCCGGAGCACGAGCCUGGCCAGGGGCUGGGGGACACGCUGGACCAGUGGGUCUCCGCCUUCCUGGUGUACGCCAGUGUGCUGUGCGAGAAGCACCCCAACAGGUGUGGGGCCAUGUUCAAAUACCUGGAUGUCAUCCGCAAAUUCCACGCCACCUACGGCGGCACUUCCUGGCUGCACUAUGACGAGGACUUCAGGCGGCUGGCGGCCAAGGACCCCACCAUGGCCUGGGGGGAUGUUGACUUGAAUCUCUGGAUGAAGUGGAUGGCCCCGUUAAAGCCAUCGACAACCAGGCAGCCGCAGGCUGCGGGUGACCAGCAGGCUCCACUGCGGCCUCAAAAUUCCAGGACGGAUGAUAAAAGUCAGACUUCUCAUUUCUGAAAUGUAGCAGAUCAGUUUUUACUUCACUGCAGAUCUUACCAUGUACCAACAGCCUGACUCCAUUGUUGUCUAAGUGGAGCUCAGGUAUUCUAUUGCACCCAUUUACCUCUGCUUUUGCUGCAUUGCAUGCUCUGCUAAAGAAGACAUAGGAGAUUCAUUUUACCCAACCAGCAGUUGUAGCAAUGGACUACAAUCAAGCCAGUUUGUUGGACAGUAAGAAUACUUGCAGUGCAGCAUUUGACACAGACUAUCUAAAGAGGGCAAAGAUUCAGGAGGGUGAAUGAGUUGAACCGCCUUUGAAUGAAGUCUGAAACAACUUCAAGAAGGGGAAUCCUACUCUAAAAUACUACAUAGAAAGUAUAAGUCAAAGUGAAUAUUGUAAUUGCCAGAUUGUCCCUUCUCAUACAAGCAAACUAUUUUGUGCUGUUCUGGGUCCUUAAAAGAACACACUUGAAUAUUUCAAAAUCUAUGUAUUACACUUAUUUAAAAAAAAAUUCAAAUAUUUGUCUUUAUUAACUUUGCCAUUUCAUGAAGAAUAUCUGCAACAACAUGUACUGAGUUGAAUAAUACCCUACAUUCAAUAGAUCAGCAGCUGUUGACAGUUGUUUUAUAAGAUUCACACAACAUUUCCUCUCUUUUUCCUCUGGGGGAAAAGAAGCAUUGACUUCCAUUGGCACAUUCAAAAAAGCCAUAGGGCAGUCAUACAUACCUUGCUUCUUCACCACACAUAGAGAUGACAAAUUAUUCUUCCAUGCAUCCCAAUAGUAUAUCUAGCAUUGUAAAUAUCAAGUUAUGAAUGGUUAUUAUCUGGUGCCAAUGAAAGUUAGAUUAGAUGGAUCAUGGCUUAAUUAUUUGGGUUUUUUUCCCAGUGUUCUGUUUUUUCUCUCCCCCUCACCUCACAUACUAGGGCAUAUGAUCAAGAUGAUAAUUAGGUAUCAGAAAAUCAACCAUUAUCUGUUCUGUUUUUCCCAUUCUUGGUUGUCACAAUAUUAUGCACUAACUUGAAAUGUUUGUAAAUUCAUAUUAAAAAUGUUUGAGACCUCAUCUAAAUAAAUUUUUUUUAUAAAAAUGUCGUGCUUAA